UACGAAGGGGGGCUAGCGUUGCUCGGAAUCACUGGGCGUAAAGCGCACGUAGGCGGAUUGCUAAGUCAGGGGUGAAAUCCUGGAGCUCAACUCCAGAACUGCCUUUGAUACUGGUGAUCUUGAGUCCGGGAGAGGUGAGUGGAACUGCGAGUGUAGAGGUGAAAUUCGUAGAUAUUCGCAAGAACACCAGUGGCGAAGGCGGCUCACUGGCCCGGUACUGACGCUGAGG
rnacentral:rRNA from 1 species